UGAGGAAUAUUGGUCAAUGGACGGAAGUCUGAACCAGCCAAGUAGCGUGCAGGAUGACGGCCCUAUGGGUUGUAAACUGCUUUUGUAUGGGGAUAAAGUUAGGGACGUGUCCCUAUUUGCAGGUACCAUACGAAUAAGGACCGGCUAAUUCCGUGCCAGCAGCCGCGGUAAUACGGAAGGUUCGGGCGUUAUCCGGAUUUAUUGGGUUAAAGGGAGCGUAGGCCGUUUGGUAAGCGUGUUGUGAAAUGUAGGAGCUCAACUUCUAGAUUGCAGCGCGAACUGUCAGACUUGAGUGCGCACAACGUAGGCGGAAUUCAUGGUGUAGCGGUGAAAUGCUUAGAUAUCAUGAAGAACUCCGAUUGCGAAGGCAGCUUACGGGAGCGCAACUGACGCUGAAGCUCGAAGGUGCGGGUAUCGAACAGG
rnacentral:rRNA from 1 species